CCAGUCCCCAAAAGACUGCAUCAUAGGUGUC
rnacentral:piRNA from 1 species